CAGAGAACAUCGCCCUCACGGGUGACUCUCCAACCCUAUGUUAUUAAAACCUUUGUUGCUUUGGCGAGACGCUUCGGCCGUCGGCUUCUGCUGACGAGUGCUCGCCAGAGGACCACAAAACUCUUGAAUUAUACGUCGUCUGAGUACUAUAUAAUAGUUA
rnacentral:misc_RNA from 1 species